rnacentral:rRNA from 1 species
AGCGAACGCUGGCGGCAGGCUUAACACAUGCAAGUCGAGCGGGCGUAGCAAUACGUCAGCGGCAGACGGGUGAGUAACGCGUGGGAACGUACCUUUUGGUUCGGAGCAAUCCAGGGAAACUUGGGCUAAUGCCGGAUAAGCCCUUACGGGGAAAGAUUUAUCGCCGAAAGAUCGGCCCGCGUCUGUUUAGCUAGUUGGUG